CUGGGCUGGACAAGGGCCAGGGCAGCAGUGCUGGGGCAUUUUUAAGGCCGUUGAGUGUCACCCAAAUCCUGACGUGCUGAGCAUCCUGCAAUGCUUACUGUGGGUGGGUGACCAGGCAGAAGACAUUGUGCAAGAGCUCCUGUAGCACCAUGAGGAGCAGCGGAGCUGGGAGCUCUACUGGCUGUCCAGGCAGAGCAGUGCAGGCUCUGACAGCCGGAGUUCUGAGGAUGAGAGGGAGGAGGAAGAUAAUAAGCACCAGAGCACUGCCAGCUGAGCAGCGGAGUGGAUCUGCCGAUGAGUCAUUCCUACAUCCAUGCCGGAGAAAGUUGUUGUGAUUCGUCCUCUCUCAUGUGACAAACUGAAGUCAAAUACCUGCU